GACGAACGCUGGCGGCGUGCUUAACACAUGCAAGUCGAACGGAAAGGCCCUGCUUUUGUGGGGUGCUCGAGUGGCGAACGGGUGAGUAACACGUGAGUAACCUGCCCUUGACUUUGGGAUAACUUCAGGAAACUGGGGCUAAUACCGGAUAGGAGCUCCUGCUGCAUGGUGGGGGUUGGAAAGUUUCGGCGGUUGGGGAUGGACUCGCGGCUUAUCAGCUUGUUGGUGGGGUAGUGGCUUACCAAGGCUUUGACGGGUAGCCGGCCUGAGAGGGUGACCGGCCACAUUGGGACUGAGAUACGGCCCAGACUCCUACGGGAGGCAGCAGUGGGGAAUAUUGCACAAUGGGUGGAAGCCUGAUGCAGCAACGCCGCGUGCGGGAUGACGGCCUUCGGGUUGUAAACCGCUUUCGCCUGUGACGAAGCGUGAGUGACGGUAAUGGGUAAAGAAGCACCGGCUAGCUACGUG
rnacentral:rRNA from 1 species